UGGCGAACGGGUGAGUAACACGUGAGCAACCUGCCCUUCACUCUGGGAUACGCACUGGAAACGGUGUCUAAUACUGGAUAUGACNCAUCACCGCAUGGUGUGUGGGUGGAAAGAUUUAUCGGUGAAGGAUGGGCUCGCGGCCUAUCAGCUUGUUGGUGAGGUAGUGGCUCACCAAGGCGACGACGGGUAGCCGGCCUGAGAGGGUGACCGGCCACACUGGGACUGAGACACGGCCCAGACUCCUACGGGAGGCAGCAGUGGGGAAUAUUGCACAAUGGGCGCAAGCCUGAUGCAGCAACGCCGCGUGAGGGAUGACGGCCUUCGGGUUGUAAACCUCUUUUAGUAGGGAAGAAGCGAAAGUGACGGUACCUGCAGAAAAAGCACCGGCUAACUACGUGCCAGCAGCCGCGGUAAUACGUAGGGUGCAAGCGUUGUCCGGAAUUAUUGGGCGUAAAGAGCUCGUAGGCGGCUUGUCGCGUCUGCUGUG
rnacentral:rRNA from 1 species